rnacentral:lncRNA from 1 species
CCAUGGCAUUCACAUUCUUCUGCCUGAGGCAAUCACUUCACAAUGGUGGGGCCAAACCUGUGUGUACCCCUGCUUUCCUCACACUUCUAAGGAACGGAAGCAUACCCUGUAGAAGUUAGUCAGAGCAACUGUGUGGUUUGUGUCAGCUUUACACACUUUUGAGGGGGGGAAUUGCAUGUCUAUACUGCACCUGAGGCAUAUUGUGGAAUAACCAGAACAUAACCUGAGGGAGACUCUCAGAAAGUAGAAGACUCAAGGAGCGCCUGCACAUGGCCGUUCCUGUUCUCUGUGAUCAAUGGUGAGAUCUUCUUUGCCCUUCCACUCUGGAAUAAUGAGGCGAAACACAGAACAAUUAGGAAUACAGAAAACCUCCUGCUGAGAGCCUAUUAUCAGAAAUUGUCUGCACCAGAUGAGAAUAAUUGUUUUGCGAUGUUCGCAAAUUGUUGCGCUUGAACGAAAAGUAACAUUCUCAUACACCAGUCCCACAAACCCAAGCAGAUGAAAGAGUCUGUUGAUUUCAAGUCUGAUGCAAGGUUAGGACUCACUACAGGAAUGAUGGGGAAGGAAAUACCAGAAGACUUUUCAAAAAAAAAGAGGGAGAAGAGUUUACAUGCAGUCAAAUUUAAGCAUUAAUCUAUAGUCUCUGUCAUUUAGAUGAUUUCUGUGUUUCAUCACUAUGUAUAAGAUUCUAUUGUUAUAUUUUGUGGCAACCUGUAAUAUAUCCCUCCCUCUGCAGAUGAAAUGCUCUUUUCUCAAAUGGGGAGUAUAUAUUUAAAAUAAAUAUAGUAAACUAAAUCA